AUGACGUACUUGUACUGAUUGAGAUUUUAACACGAAGUGAGUGGCGAACGGGUGAGUAACACGUGGGUAACCUGCCCAGAAGUAGGGGAUAACACCUGGAAACAGAUGCUAAUACCGUAUAACAGAGAAAACCGCAUGGUUUUCUUUUAAAAGAUGGCUCUGCUAUCACUUCUGGAUGGACCCGCGGCGUAUUAGCUAGUUGGUGAGGUAAAGGCUCACCAAGGCAGUGAUACGUAGCCGACCUGAGAGGGUAAUCGGCCACAUUGGGACUGAGACACGGCCCAGACUCCUACGGGAGGCAGCAGUAGGGAAUCUUCCACAAUGGACGCAAGUCUGAUGGAGCAACGCCGCGUGAGUGAAGAAGGGUUUCGGCUCGUAAAGCUCUGUUGUUAAAGAAGAACGUGGGUAAGAGUAACUGUUUACCCAGUGACGGUAUUUAACCAGAAAGCCACGGCUAACUACGUGCCAGCAGCCGCGGUAAUACGUAGGUGGCAAGCGUUAUCCGGAUUUAUUGGGCGUAAAGCGAGCGCAGGCGGUCUUUUAAGUCUAAUGUGAAAGCCUUCGGCUCAACCGAAGAAGUGCAUUGGAAACUGGGAGACUUGAGUGCAGAAGAGGACAGUGGAACUCCAUGUGUAGCGGUGAAAUGCGUAGAUAUAUGGAAGAACACCAGUGGCGAAGGCGGCUGUCUGGUCUGCAACUGACGCUGAGGCUCGAAAGCAUGGGUAGCGAACAGGAUUAGAUACCCUGGUAGUCCAUGCCGUAAACGAUGAUUACUAAGUGUUGGAGGGUUUCCGCCCUUCAGUGCUGCAGCUAACGCAUUAAGUAAUCCGCCUGGGGAGUACGACCGCAAGGUUGAAACUCAAAAGAAUUGACGGGGGCCCGCACAAGCGGUGGAGCAUGUGGUUUAAUUUCGAAGCUACGCGAAGAACCUUUACCAGGUCUUGACAUCUUCUGACAGUCUAAGAGAUUAGAGGUUCCCUUCGGGGACAGAAUGACAGGUGGUGCAUGGUUGUCGUCAGCUCGUGUCGUGAGAUGUUGGGUUAAGUCCCGCAACGAGCGCAACCCUUAUUACUAGUUGCCAGCAUUAAGUUGGGCACUCUAGUGAGACUGCCGGUGACAAACCGGAGGAAGGUGGGGACGACGUCAAAUCAUCAUGCCCCUUAUGACCUGGGCUACACACGUGCUACAAUGGAUGGUACAACGAGUCGCGAGACCGCGAGGUUAAGCUAAUCUCUUAAAACCAUUCUCAGUUCGGACUGUAGGCUGCAACUCGCCUACACGAAGUCGGAAUCGCUAGUAAUCGCGGAUCAGCAUGCCGCGGUGAAUACGUUCCCGGGCCUUGUACACACCGCCCGUCACACCAUGAGAGUUUGUAACACCCAAA
rnacentral:rRNA from 1 species